rnacentral:tRNA from 1 species
UAGCUUAGUGGCAAAGCGCUUGCCUAGCAAGUGCAACAUCCUGGGUUCGAUCCCCAG